UAAAAAUGAAUUAUAUUAAUUUUUAAGUAUUAAAGAAUAAAAUUUUUGAAAUUUAAAAAAUUUGGCAGUAAUUUAAGUAUAUUCAGAGGAACUUGUUUAUUAAAUGAUAAUCCACAAUAUAUCUUUCUUAAUUUUGAUAAAUUUGUAUAUCGUCGUCAUCAGAAUUUCUUUAAAGAGGAAAAAUUUUCUAAAAUAAAUAAAAAAUAAUUAUGUCAGAUCAAGGUGCAGUUUAUAAUUAAGUUAAAAAUGAGUUACAAUAAAAUUAUUUGUGGAGAAAAUAAUGAAAAAUUUUAUGAAAAUGGAUUUGAUAGUAAAUUAAUUAAAGGUAGAUUAAUUGAUUUUAUAAUUAAAUUGUGU
rnacentral:rRNA from 1 species